rnacentral:lncRNA from 1 species
CGAACCAGCAGUGGCAACCCGCUUGGGUCCCCUUCCACGCUGUGCGAGCUUUGUUCUUUCGCUUUUUGCAAUAAAUCUUGCUACUGCUCACUCUUUGGGUCCACGCUGCUUUUAUGAGCUGUAACACUCACCGCGAAGGUCUGCAGCUUCACUCCUGAAGCCAGUGAGACCACGAGCCCACCGGAAGGAACGAACAACUCCAGACGCGCCACCUUAAGAGCUGUAACCCUCACCGCGAAGGUCCACGGCUUCAUUCCUGAGCCAGCGAGACCACGAACCCACCAGAAGGAAGAAACUCCAAACACAUCCGAACAUCAGAAGGAGAAAACUCCAGAUGCGCCACCUUAAGAGCUGUAACACUCACCGCGAGGGUCCGCAGCUUCAUUCUUGAAGUCAGUGAGACCAAGAACCCACCAAUUCUGGACACGCUACCUCGAUCCAGAUGAAGGUACCCCAAGCAGCUUGAGAUGUGAUGAUGGAGACCAGUUUGAGAAGACCCAUCAUCUCUGAUUUCCCUCUGAUUAUGAAGUAAUACAACAAAGCUACAAUGCGGAAAUCACUUAGAGAAGUUUAGACUGCUUGACUAAAGUCACACAGCUGGUAAGAGACAGAGCCAAAAGUUAAACCCAAGACUGCUUCAAAUCUCCAUGAACUUGACCUAAUCAUUAGCUAUAGGUAAUACAUUUUGCCAGGCCACUAAUGUACAGCCAUUAAUCUUAUCUGAACCCAGGCGCAUAAAAUUAUCUGUACAGCCUUCAAAGUACCCAAGAAUUUUCUUCAGCACUAAGACAACCUCAAAUCAUGGUUUUUACAAAUCUCGGCUACAUAGUUUUCCAUGGUUGAGCAACAGAAAAUAUA